rnacentral:rRNA from 1 species
GACGAACGCUGGCGGCGUGCCUAAUACAUGCAAGUCGAACGCUGAAGGAGUAGCUUGCUGUUCUGGAUGAGUUGCGAACGGGUGAGUAACGCGUAGGUAACCUGCCUGGUAGUGGGGGAUAACUACAGGAAACGAUAGCUAAUACCGCAUAACAGUAGAUGUUGCAUGACAUUUACUGAAAAGGUGCAGUUGCAUCACUACCAGAUGGACCUGCGUUGUAUUAGCUUGUUGGGGGGGUAACGGCUCACCUAGGCGACGAUACAUAGCCGACCUGAGAGGGUGAUCGGCCACACUGGAACUGAGACACGGCCCAGACGCCUACGGGAGGCAGCAGUAGGGAAUCUGCGGCAAUGGUCGGAAGUCUGACCCAGCAACGCGGCGUGAGUGAAGGAGGCUUUCGGUUCGGAAAGCUCUGUUGUAGGUUAAGAACCGCUGUGGGCGGUGAAGGAGCGCGCGUGGACGUAAUCUGACCAGAAGGAGACGGUUACUUACUU